CUACCGUAUAAUAGGUUAAAUCAAAAGAUGGAAUAUGCUGCAAUAGAUAAAAGCCUUUCUCAGUGUUUUAGUCAUGAGGGAGAAAAGAAAGCUCUCAACAGCGCUGUCUGUUUUCCCCUGCUGGCUGCUGACAGUGGCAGAUAUAUCAGAAGAGAAAACAUUUAUUUGGGCCGGAGGGCAGAGAUUCAGGCCUAAAGCCACUCAGAAGAUCCUAGAUCACUGGAUCAGAGGGCAUGUCACACAGUGUCAGAAGAGUCAGACUGUGUAGAAGGGCUAUACACACACCACUAUAGUUAAUGUUGCUAUCACUGCUAACAUUUAAAAGACCAGUAUUGUAAUCUGGUCUGUUAACGGGAGCACAUAAGAAGACAAAGGCCAAUUUAAUGCAAUGAAUGACGUUUAAUAAAUUGUCUGAAGUUACUUGGUCUUUAAGGACUGUUUGAAGGGCUUGAACAGGCCUUUGGAGAUGGCAGAAAACAUCCUGACGAGAAGUGGACGUUUGUGAGGCGUCUCCUGUUGGGAGCUGGCGGGGAGAUCCUUUGGCAGUGCAGACAUGGCAGCAUGUGGCGCUAUGCUGGGCACUACAGAAGAGAGAGAGAGCGUUUACAUGCACUUUAAUUCAGAAAUUAUGUAAUGUAUGUUACAACUCAACAUAACUGACACUGAUAAAUGAGAACCAACAGCUUGAGUUUUGGAGAAUAUAAUUACUUUUACAUAAGAGAUGACUACUAAUUGCGUAUAUAACCUUUGUAAGGUUAUUUUGAAGUGGCAUUUAUUUGUACACCAAUAUCUCAAACAGACUGUUGUCCUGUUGUGUGAACUUACGCAUGCCAUCUUCAGCAGUGGUCUGUACUUGUUCUGAUUCAGAGCGGUGGGAAUCCUUCUUGUUCCCCUUCUUGAAUAGCUUUAAGUUGCUUGUCAGCCUGACCAGCCUUUGUAGAAAAGAUAGUUUCCCGCUGCUAGCCCUCACAUCCUCAGCCAGUGGAAGAGCCUUAGGCCCGGUGGUUUUGACUGAUGUUCUUGAGGCUGCCCUCAAUGCCUCAUUACAUCUGUGGAGAAGCGCUUCACUCAAAGACUUGACAAGAAUCCUAUCAAAUGAAGAGUCCUGAGUCGACACGGCCUGUUGGAGGAUUUUCUCAGAGCCAAACUCCUCCAACAGAUUUUUAUAGACGACUCUGUAGACUUUAUGAAUCCUCAAGUUCUCUGGAUAGGCUUGUGUCUCAGAGCAGCCUGACCAUGCACAGAAGACCUCCAUAACUUUAGGGAUCAGGUCUUGUGACUUGCGUGUGACGUCAACUGGGUAAUCUUCUGCUGGGGUUUGGAUUUCUGUUAGAAUUCUCAUUACUAACNNNNNNNNNNACUCAAUAGAUUGCCUACAUCAGAUAUAGUGGGUUCAGAUGUUUGGAGAGAUUCAGUUGGAGAGGAUCCUCUACUUUCUGCAUCAGAAUCCACAGAGUACAUGACCUGGCUUACCAUAACUUUGGUAAAGAGACUGACUGUCACUAAAUACUGAUGAAGAAGAAGAAGAGCAUGAAAUUCUAUCUUCAGACACUCUAGCCAACACCUUGGCCCCCUGAGCCAAACUCAUUGAAGUUGAAUAGGGCACAAAACUAGGAAGCAGGAGGCACUUAACAGACUCCUCUACAAACAGCUGAACCAGCUCGUAAGUUGUGGGCUUCCCCACCUUGUCAUUCCUCUUCAGCUUCGAAAGGAUGGUAUCAGAUGCACUCUUUCCAGCCGCCACUGUCAGUCCCAGAGGGGUCAAGUUGCUAUCAGAAAUUAUGCGGUUGACUUGGUGACUGAGAUCACGGGAGAGAGCACCAAUCCUACCCUGAGAUAUGAGCUCCUCCAGUCUAGCUAUUGGAUCUGUUAGAUCAGGGUGAGAUGUAACCUGCCCUUCUGCCUCUGGAUAUACCUUCUUCAUGAUGGUAUCGGCUAUGGCAAACAUGCUUGUUCUGGCAUCACACACCAUUGUUUUUGGCUUAGUAGAUUCGCUCAUGUCAAUGACUGAGCAUCUUACAAUGGGCUGAGCAGUACUCUCGGGUAACUCAGAAGGAAUGGGAGUGCAAAUUCCCACUCUGUCUUCUGUGAUUUGGCAGUUGAGAAUGACAACGAGGAGGAAGACCGCAGUGACUCCUCGCCACAUUCGCUGCUUAUCUUCUCAAUGUUCUCCAGCAUAGUUCCAACCACUUUAUCUAUUUGUGAAAGCUGUCCUGCAGCCACCAUUUGGUCAGAUUUUGACAGUUGCUCCUGGACACUGCUGAUGAUACUGUCCUCUGGCAUUCCCAGGUGGACUUUCAGUGAGGUCUGGGAACUUUAAAAUGAACAAGCAAAGCAUGUUAAUUGCUGUCUGAAGUUGGAAAAUCGAUAUCUUAGUGCUAACAAAUCUAACAAGCAUUAUAAUUGAGUAUUCUAAAUGUAAUUUAUAUGUGUGCAUUAGAUAUUGCAAAACACACCUGUUAGAAAGCUGGAAAAUAUUGAAAUGGGGAAAUUAUUGUUCAUCAGUUUGAGGGUUAGGAAUAACUGCACACACACACACACACACACACACACACACACACAUUAUGGGGAACAUACAGUACCUCUUGGAAGAGGGUGUGCUAGACCUUGGUCGGAGAGCCCUGCCGCCACAGUUACUUCGCCAAAUAUUUAACUUCCUGGAUGAGCUCUAGUCUUUUCUGCUCAAAGGCAGUGAAGGAUCUUGCACUGCCACCCCUCUUGAGUGAGUCAGCGUUGUCAUAAAAGCCCGUCACCCCUAGAAUGCGGGCCAGGGCCGGCAGCAGGAUCUGCAUGGUGGUCUGUGCAAUGAAGUUGACAAUGGUCUUGCACAAUUUUGCAAGCUGUUCCUUUGUCAUCUGCAUUGCACAAACAAAACAGAACACAGCAGGUUUGGCAAUGAGACUCUGAUGUAAAGUAUUCUAGAUUGAACAGAAUGCAUUUCACCAACAUCGUUUUCCUUAUCUGUGGCUGAAUUCAAAGUUGGAUGAAGUAUGACAGAUUAAUGAACGUAAUAGCAGAAUAGAACUAUGGUUAAUUCCUCUCUCUUGAUUCAACACAACAUUCCCAAAUCAAAGGUCAAAGGCUGAUGAAGAAACUUACAGUUUUUUUUAAAUCCUUUGUAGAUCACUUGCCAUUGCCUAGAAAAGAAAAAAGAAAUGUGUUUUACUUACUUUUUAUUUCCUUCUGCACAAAAUAUGUGAGGCUAGAGCAAAACAUGGUUCUAACAUACUCAUCAGUAAGAUUGCGCAUGAAUGAGAUGAGGAUUGGGUAGCAGUCCUCCAUCUCUACUUUGUUGCCUGGGCCGAAUGCAGCCUUAAGAGCAUUCUUCUCCAAGAGCUCAAUAACAGAUCCUCUGUCCGGGUGUUUAUUCCUCAAUCCUAAAUAUGUUAUUAUCAACUAGGACAAUUCAGGAUAAGUCAGACGCUUUUCUCUUAAUACAAUACUUCGAUAAAAUUGCUACAAUAGGACUAUUGAAUAAAACUAUCCAUGCAAAAUGUCUUACUGACUACAGUUUCUAACAUGACCUUUAUCUAUGAUAUGCAGGUUUAGAGAACCAACAUACUACAGAGGGAAAAUCUAUGACCUGCAUCUGUAUCAGUGCCCUGCUCCCCUGACUUCUUGGCACUACUUUUCCUCUUCACCUUGGAUAGAAUAUAAUAGAAUAGAUUCCAGAUCACAAAUAAUAGACAUGUUACAUCAGGUCAAUGCAGCUAUUGUGACAAUUGAGUGUUACUAGUCUAGUAGUUGCCCUGUCACUCCUGCCAUUUUACCUUUCCUGUCUUCUUGGGCUCCUUCUUGAGCUGGGCCACUGGUUCUUCCUCAACAACCUCCCUCCCCUCCCUCGGGGGAUCAUCAUCAUCUCUCUGUACUACCUGAAGGACAUAGGAAUUUCAUGUCAAUGUCAGAUUAGAUUCUUGCAAAGGACAUCAUAGAGCUACAGCCAUAUCAGAGCUAAACUGGUGAUUGACUUAAUAGAGAGAAUUAGACAUUUGUUUUGCAAUAGCCUAUGUUAUCUUAAAUGACGUUUUCCUUAGUUACAUUCCCANNNNNNNNNNGUAUCAGUGCCCUGCUCCCCUGACUUCUUGGCACUACUUUUCCUCUUCACCUUGGAUAGAAUAUAAUAGAAUAGAUUCCAGAUCACAAAUAAUAGACAUGUUACAUCAGGUCAAUGCAGCUAUUGUGACAAUUGAGUGUUACUAGUCUAGUAGUUGCCCUGUCACUCCUGCCAUUUUACCUUUCCUGUCUUCUUGGGCUCCUUCUUGAGCUGGGCCACUGGUUCUUCCUCAACAACCUCCCUCCCCUCCCUCGGGGGAUCAUCAUCAUCUCUCUGUACUACCUGAAGGACAUAGGAAUUUCAUGUCAAUGUCAGAUUAGAUUCUUGCAAAGGACAUCAUAGAGCUACAGCCAUAUCAGAGCUAAACUGGUGAUUGACUUAAUAGAGAGAAUUAGACAUUUGUUUUGCAAUAGCCUAUGUUAUCUUAAAUGACGUUUUCCUUAGUUACAUUCCCAAAUAUGUUGUGUCAUUUAACCUACAUUUUCUUCAUCCAUAAUAGCAUACAGUAUUUUUUAUAUCUCGAAAAACGUGUUGUUGUGUUGUUUUCACUCAUGUUGAGUUUACUGAGGACAAUAUUGCAGCCACUGACGAUUUAAGAACUUCAUACCACGUCAUGGAAUGUUAAACCUUUAUGCACAUUCCCAUUCUCUCAUUAAUAUUGGGGGGGAAAUAUAUUGAUCAGAUUACACACUUUCCCCAUCAACCGUUUUCGAUACAGCUAGGCCCACAUUGAAAUCUGUUCACUAAGCACUGCGACUCAGCAGGUCAAAACAGAAAUAAACCUAGUCUAAUUUCGUGUCGACCUCUUUUGGAUUUAUUUCGGUACCCCAUUUAGUGAGCCAGUUCAUUGAUCUAUUCCUUAUAGUGCAUUCCUUAAAAGUAGGCCUACAUUAGGGAAUAAGGUGCUAUUUGGUAGCAUAUUCCUCUCUAGCCCAUGCCUCCACCAAUCCAAUGAUUUUAGAUUUGUAGGAAGAAGCGAACGAGAGUGUACACUUCAGGAGAAAGAGAUAUUAUUGGACUGUAUCCCUAGGCUAUAGCCAGGCUAAACCAAGUAGCCUUGAGUACGAUCCCAAAAGCUUGGAUUGCCAAAGGCCUAUCAGAGCUAAAUUGGUGAUAACAACUUUAAACUUACUGUAAAACAUGUUCUACCUUCCCCUAUAUUUCACUUACCUUUUCUUCCACCAUAGCUAAUUGUAUAUCCCGAAAAGCAUGUCAUUGACUGUUUUGGCUUUGCUACUUUCAUGUCGAGUUAUGAUAAAAGAGCAUCUUUGCAGACGCAGACUUUUAGUUAGUCGGGGACGUCAUGGACUGAAGGCAGUAGAGGUUAAUUGGUUUUAAGAAAUGUUUAUAUGUCGCCCUCUUGUGGAAUUAUUUAGGUACAACAACGUGUUGUGUAGGAUCCAAAUGAUUGUUUUCUCCUCAUCCCUGUGUUACGUCCUAUUAUCAGUCAUAAACAGAGAGCAAUACACUUUAAUAGCAAAGAGGUAACACUGCUUCACCCAAUGUGAUACGGUAUCGCUAUUAUUUUUUAUUUUAUUUUAGAACACAUUCAAGAACCUCCAGAAGCUAACUAGCUAAUUAGCUAAAAGCUAUUUAGUCAUAGUUAGCCAAUGCUAGCGGCUUUUACCUUCUGCACAGAUACCAGCCCUGUUCUUAGCCUGGAUAAUACUCGCCAGUCUACUAGUAUCGGACUGUCUCUCCACAACAACGCCGGAUUCCUGCCGUAAUCCCUGGACCACUACUUCUGAUCUUCACAGCUAGAUCACAGCUUGCAGCUAACUAGCUCACAGCUAGCUUGUACUCAUCGUGGCAUCCAGGACCGAAGCUAUCCCUGAGGCCCACCUCCCGGCUUACUCAGCUGUUCUCCCGAACCCCACUCAUACACGGCUAGAGCCCAAUACUCCACCUGAUCCUUGCUGUAAACUAUGGACCUUGGCACCGGUUCAUCGCUGCUACCGAUUGGCUAUAGUGGAUCUAUAGUGGAUAACGCCACUGCCACGAAGGUAGCACCAGUUAGCCGUGAGCCAGGCCACGUACCAGUACCACCUCC
rnacentral:lncRNA from 13 species